GAUGAACGCUAGCGGGAGGCUUAAUACAUGCAAGUCGAGCGGUAAGUUUGGGAUAGCAAUAUUCUGAACCUAGAGCGGCGCACGGGUGAGUAACGCGUACAUAACCUACCCUUAACUGGGGGAAAGUCUCGGGAAACUGAGAAUAAUACCGCAUAGUAUUACUAGUCUGCAUGGAUUGGUAAUUAAAGAUUUAUUGGUUAAGGAUGGGUGUGCGUCUGAUUAGCUAGUUGGUAGGGUAACGGCUUACCAAGGCGAUGAUCAGUAGGGGGCGUGAGAGCGUGACCCCCCACACGGGUACUGAGACACGGACCCGACUCCUACGGGAGGCAGCAGUAAGGAAUAUUGGUCAAUGGACGAAAGUCUGAACCAGCCAUCCCGCGUGCAGGAAGAAGGGGCUCUGCCUUGUAAACUGCUUUUGAAUGGGACGAAAGAGCUAUAUGCGUAUAGUGUUGACGGUACCAUUAGAAUAAGCACCGGNUAACUCCGUG
rnacentral:rRNA from 1 species